GUUGAACGCUGGCGGCAUGCCUUACACAUGCAAGUCGAACGGCAGCGCGGACUCCGGUCUGGCGGCGAGUGGCGAACGGGUGAGUAAUACAUCGGAACGUACCCUGUUGUGGGGGAUAACUAGUCGAAAGAUUAGCUGAUACCGCAUACGACAUGAGGGUGAAAGUGGGGGACCGCAAGGCCUCACGCAGCAGGAGCGGCCGAUGUCUGAUUAGCUAGUUGGUGGGGUAAAGGCCCACCAAGGCGACGAUCAGUAGCUGGUCUGAGAGGACGAUCAGCCACACUGGGACUGAGACACCGCCCAGACUCCUACGGGAGGCAGCAGUGGGGAAUUUUGGACAAUGGGGGCAACCCUGAUCCAGCAAUGCCGCGUGUGUGAAGAAGGCCUUCGGGUUGUAAAGCACUUUUGUCCGGAAAGAAAUCGCGCUGGUUAAUACCUGGCGUGGAUGACGGUACCGGAAGAAUAAGCACCGGCUAACUACGUGCCAGCAGCCGCCGUAA
rnacentral:rRNA from 1 species